rnacentral:rRNA from 1 species
UGAGGGAAUAUUUGGGUCAAUGGGCGAGAGCCUGAACCAGCCAAGUAGCGUGCAGGACGACGGCCCUAUGGGUUGUAAACUGCUUUUGCGCGGGGAUAAAGUGCGCCACGUGUGGCUCAUUGCAGGUACCGCGCGAAUAAGGACCGGCUAAUUCCGUGCCAGCAGCCGCGGUAAUACGGAAGGUCCGGGCGUUAUCCGGAUUCAUUGGGUUUAAAGGGAGCGCAGGCCGCCCCUUAAGCGUGUUGUGAAAUGCCGCGGCUCAACCGUGGCACUGCAGCGCGAACUGGGGGGCUUGAGUGCGCGCAGCGCAGGCGGAACUCGUGGUGUAGCGGUGAAAUGCUUAGAUAUCACGAAGAACUCCGAUCGCGAAGGCAGCCUGCGGGAGCGCAACUGACGCUGAGCU